UGAUCAUGGCUCAGAUUGAACGCUGGCGGNAGGCCUAACACAUGCAAGUCGAGCGGAUGACGGGAGCUUGCUCCUUGAUUCAGCGGCGGACGGGUGAGUAAUGCCUAGGAAUCUGCCUGGUAGUGGGGGACAACGUUUCGAAAGGAACGCUAAUACCGCAUACGUCCUACGGGAGAAAGCAGGGGACCUUCGGGCCUUGCGCUAUCAGAUGAACCUAGGUCGGAUUAGCUAGUUGGUGGGGUAAUGGCUCACCAAGGCGACGAUCCGUAACUGGUCUGAGAGGAUGAUCAGUCACACUGGAACUGAGACACGGUCCAGACUCCUACGGGAGGCAGCAGUGGGGAAUAUUGGACAAUGGGCGAAAGCCUGAUCCAGCCAUGCCGCGUGUGUGAAGAAGGUCUUCGGAUUGUAAAGCACUUUAAGUUGGGAGGAAGGGCAGUAAGCUAAUACCUUGCUGUUUUGACGUUACCGACAGAAUAAG
rnacentral:rRNA from 1 species